GGGAGGUCUAAUAGUAUCACUAGACAUUGAAAAUAAGUUUUAAAUGUACUCAUGUGAAGAGAAAGGAGUCAAAACACAUCGACAUUAAUAACAGCGCCACCUAGCGUUUAAAGGUCACCAAAUUCAUCCAGUGUAACCUUUAUGGGGUCAUGGGUCUAUGUACCAAGGUUGGUUAUGAUAUGUCCAAGGGCUGCUGAGAUAUGGGCUUACGUCCGGUUUGGCGGCUUAGCCGCCAAAUUUGAUUGGCUCUAGCGGGCAAACGGUUUUGAAGUUGAAAGGUCUAUCAGAUGUUUUGCAUCAAGCAUGGCGAGAAGAUCAUGUGUGCCAAGUUUCGAGAUGAUUGGACAAGAUUUGUGAUAGAAGUAGCACUUUGAAGGUUUUUGACAUAAACCAAGAUGGCGGACAUAUACGUCAUGGCGCAAUGACGUCAUGGGGUGUGUUGAACUGGGCUUGGUUCAAGGAAUCCAAUGAUACCUGGUAUGUGAAAAUUGGUCGAAUAGGUCGAAAGUUAUGAACAUGAAUGCAUGCCCAACUUUGACCUGUUGGUGGCGCUAGAGCUGUAGGGCUAGCGACCUGAGAUUGGCUUAAUGGGCUAAUGGGGCUGUCCUGAACCAGUGUGCCAAAUUUCACAACUUUUCGCCAAGCG
ensembl:lncRNA